UUGCGAUGAUGUGACUUGGAAUUUCUUCACCUGAGAAUCAUCUUGAUGCUUUAUGAGCUUUUUAACCCUGAGCAAA